AUGCUGCAGUGACACCCCCUGACAUGCUUUCAGAGUCCUUAUGUCCUGACCUUUUUCCCCCACCUUCUACACCUUCUCCACCAUUGCCCCCCCUUCAAAUGAAGCACAAAGGUGACAGCAUACAGGGCCACGUAGUGGCCCCAGAAGACUGUGAAUUCCAUAAGAACAUGGAAAGUUUUCCAUACACUAAAGUUGUGU